rfam:Monodelphis domestica chromosome 3, whole genome shotgun sequence.
UGUAGUUUAACCAAAACAUUAAAUUGUAAAUCUAAAUAUAGAAGUUUAAGUCUUCUUA